UACAGAGGGGCAAGCGUUAUUCGGAAUUAUUGGGCGUAAAGGGCGCGUAGGCGGCUUUUCAAGUGACGGGUGAAAUCCCUCGGCUUAACCGAGGAACUGCCUGUCAGACUGGAAGGCUUGAGACCGGGAGAGGUGAGUGGAAUUCCCAGUGUAGCGGUGAAAUGCGUAGAUAUUGGGAGGAACACCAGUGGCGAAGGCGGCUCACUGGACCCGGAACUGACGCUGAGGCGGCGAAAAGCGUGGGGAGCAACAGGGAUUAAG
rnacentral:rRNA from 1 species